AGGGCAAUGUUGCUGAGCAACGUUGCCGGGCGAUGGUGCAAAGAGCGUUUCCCAUUGAUAUUCGGCAACAUUGCUGGUUUCUGAACGUCUUUGAUCGCCUCUGGCAACUUUUUGCGAGAAGCCAAUCAGAACGCGAGAAAAACGUCACAUGACCUCCUGUGAGCUUCAGAUCAAAAAUUUCAAAACAACAUGGCGGCCGUGAAGCGACAGAAAACGAGAGAGUCCUGGCAUCUUUUUACAUGGAACAUCAAUGCCGGUGGAAUGUCCGUGAAGUCUUUCAAAAACAAGGACCUGAGGGAAAAAAGGAAUUGGAAGAGCUCUGGAUCAGACUGUAGGUGUACAUGAGCAAGAUGUUAAAAAAACCUGAGGACCGUUUUCACCAGGGAGCAUGGAGAAGAGCAGGUCUGGGGCUGAUUCAGCAGAGGUGUACGAAUACGUCCCCAAAUGGAAGUAUUACCCGAACACUAUCUCCUUGGCUCUUGCGCCGUGGAUGAAAGUGAGGACAAUCUACAAGUUCAAGAGGAGCCAGAGGCGCCAACAUCUCCAUCAAUUCCAUCACCUCCUGAGGGACUCUCACGUCAACAAGGAAAGGAAAUGCAAGGGAAACAAACCAAGCAAAACUGUGCCGAAAAAAAAGUGGCUGAGGCGAUGGAAUAUGCCAUGGGGUUUCUUAAUAGGAAGGACACUUCCAAACAUGCAGUGUUCCUCCAUUGUCUUAAACAUUUUAGAUGACCAGAGGAGUGAUUAUGGUUAUUAGUUUUAGUGAUUAUAUUGUUUAGUUAUUGUAUUGCUGCAUAUCUUUUGUAUGGCUAUUUAACAGCAUU